ACACCUCAACUCUUCAUGGUUUUCCGUGAUGAGCUUGGACUUUGGGGGUCUUGCUGGCCUACGGUCGGCUCCUCUAAAAUGAAUCAGCUUGCCAGUGUUUGGUGGCACACAGGUGUGAUAACUAUCUACGCUUGUGGUUUUCCACCGGUAACCUUCAGCAGUGGAGGUUCGCUGGAGCUCACAGACGUCUCUCCUCAGUGAGGACAGCCCUUUGAAU
rnacentral:misc_RNA from 2 species